UUGUCUCAAAGAUUAAGCCAUGCAUGUCUCAGUACAAGCCGAAUUAAGGUGAAACCGCGAAAGGCUCAUUAAAUCAGUUAUGGUUCCUUAGAUCGUACCCACAAUUACUUGGAUAACUGUGGUAAUUCUAGAGCUAAUACAUGCAAACAGAGCUCCGACCUUAACGGAAGGAGUGCUUUUAUUAGAUCAAAACCAAUCGGUGGCGGGUUCGCCCCGUCGUUCCAUCGUACAACUUGGUGACUCUGAAUAACUUUACGCUGAUCGCACGGUCUCGCACCGGCGACGCAUCUUUCAAAUGUCUGCCUUAUCAACUGUCGAUGGUAGGUUCUGCGCCUACCAUGGUUGUAACGGGUAACGGGGAAUCAGGGUUCGAUUCCGGAGAGGGAGCCUGAGAAACGGCUACCACAUCCAAGGAAGGCAGCAGGCGCGCAAAUUACCCACUCCCGGCACGGGGAGGUAGUGACGAAAAAUAACGAUACGGGACUCAUCCGAGGCCCCGUAAUCGGAAUGAGUACACUCUAAACCCUUUAACGAGGAUCAAUUGGAGGGCAAGUCUGGUGCCAGCAGCCGCGGUAAUUCCAGCUCCAAUAGCGUAUAUUAAAGUUGUUGCGGUUAAAAAGCUCGUAGUCGAAUCUGUGUCCCGCGCCGCCGGUUCAUCGUCCGCGGUGUUUACUGGCGUGCCGCGGGACGUCCUGCCGGUGGGCCGGUGCGCGUCCCUCUUUCGGGGGGGGCGCGCGCGCGGCCGCCCAACUCAAUCCCGCCGCGGUGCUCUUCACUGAGUGUCGAGGUGGGCCGGCACGUUUACUUUGAACAAAUUAGAGUGCUUAAAGCAGGCUAAAAUUUCGCCUGAAUACUGUGUGCAUGGAAUAAUGGAAUAGGACCUCGGUUCUAUUUUGUUGGUUUUCGGAACUCCGAGGUAAUGAUUAAUAGGAACGGAUGGGGGCAUUCGUAUUGCGACGUUAGAGGUGAAAUUCUUGGAUCGUCGCAAGACGGACAGAAGCGAAAGCAUUUGCCAAAAACGCUUUC
rnacentral:rRNA from 1 species